rnacentral:rRNA from 1 species
UACGUAGGGUGCGAGCGUUGUCCGGAAUUAUUGGGCGUAAAGAGCUUGUAGGCGGUCUGUCGCGUCUGCUGUGAAAAUCCGGGGGCUCAACCCCGGACUUGCAGUGGGUACGGGCAGACUAGAGUGUGGUAGGGGGAGACUGGAAUUCCUGGUGUAGCGGUGAAAUGCGCAGAUAUCAGGAGGAACACCGAUGGCGAAGGCAGGUCUCUGGGCCACUACUGACGCUGGAGAAG